ACACCGUAGUCCCCCACCGGAUAAUUACACUUUGGCUCUUCGCAAAGCACUUAUGUUCUUCAAUGCUCAACGCUGUAAGUAAUUUCCCCAAUUUCCUUCAGGUUUCUGAUCUGUGGGAUUCAGAUUCUUAUUUGAAUUGUACUAUUGUAUUCGAUCCUGCCUAUGUCUGACUUACUAGUGAAGUAUCUCUUUACUCUAAAGCAUUAAAAAUUGGAAGAUCCAUGUUGUUUUCUGAAGAAUAGAAUAUUGCCAUCUAUUCUUCUAUGUUUCCUUUACUUGAUGAUUAAGAUACCAAGAUUACUGGGUUUUAAGAUGCAGACUUAUGAUUUUACCUUCAGCAAAUUUAUCUGUGGACUAUCUGGAUUUGGGUGUUUCUAUUUUUUGAUGAUUGACAGCUACAUUUUGGGUCAGAUUGGUGGUUAUUUGUUCAGUUUGUCAUUUAAUUAUCUCUUUGUUUUUGGCAGCUGGGAAACUACCUAAGCACAAUAAUGUAUCAUGGAGGGGGAGUUCAGGUAUGCAAGACGGCAAAUCUGAUGAUUCAACCAUGUUUAAGAAUUUGGUUGGUGGCUAUUAUGAUGCAGGAGAUGCAAUAAAGUUUAAGACUGUUCCUAAGCACCGACACCGUAGUCCCCCACCGGAUAAUUACACUUUGGCUCUUCGCAAAGCACUUAUGUUCUUCAAUGCCCAACGCUGUAAGUAAUUUCCCCAAUUUCCUUCAGGUAUCUGAUCUAUCUUCCCUCAAUCUUUUGCUCUCACUAUGUUAAGUUGGAGUGUGAUUGAGUAUAGUGCAAAAUAUGAAGCUGCUGGGGAGCUCAGUCAUGUCAAAGAUAUUAUUAAGUGGGGUACUGAUUACCUCCUCAAAACCUUCAAUUCCUCUGC
rnacentral:lncRNA from 1 species